rnacentral:ncRNA from 1 species
UAGUAGAAAAUAUUCAAGUAAGAACAUUGAAGGCCGAGGUGAAGAAGGGUUCCAUAGGAACGGUAGUUGAUAUGAAUCAGGCGGUCCUAAGUGAUCCGGUGAAUCGUAACAUAGACGGGGUACCUGAUAUUAUCCGCUCGCGGGCUUGUUCACUAAUCUGCAAAUUAUUGUUGCAUUGCAGCACCCUGUAGCGAAUAGGGAAUAGGAUUAUUAUUCCCAACCUAUCCAUGGAGAUUGGUGCGUCGGACCUUUCGUUCGGCGAGCGCCCAGUGCGGUAACAAAAUCGACAUCGGCGAGAGUUCUCUUUUCUUUAUUAGGAGUGCAUCCACUCCCUCGAAUCGGCUU